rnacentral:tRNA from 1 species
GGAGGCGUGGUGUAGUGGUCUAACAUGUCGGCCUGUCAAGCCGGAGAUCGCGGGUUCGAUCCCCGUCGCCUCCG